AUACCUUUCCCAGCCUUUUGGCUAAGAUCAAUUGUACCUGAUCUAUUAUUAUCAUUUUAAUAUUUGAUACAUGGUUCAACAAAACACACAAUAUUAAAUUAAUUUCUCAAGGGAGAAAGUUCUGACAAUAGCUUGCUAUCAAGGCUUUUGGGCAUUGCUUUUGUACCACACUAUUGUAGAAGCAUGGUGCACCCCAC